UGCAGUCGAGCGGACGACGGGAGCUUGCUCCCUUAGGUCAGCGGCGGACGGGUGAGUAACACGUGGGUAACCUGCCUGUAAGACUGGGAUAACUCCGGGAAACCGGGGCUAAUACCGGAUGCUUGAUUGAACCGCAUGGUUCAAUCAUAAAAGGUGGCUUUUAGCUACCACUUACAGAUGGACCCGCGGCGCAUUAGCUAGUUGGUGAGGUAACGGCUCACCAAGGCGACGAUGCGUAGCCGACCUGAGAGGGUGAUCGGCCACACUGGGACUGAGACACGGCCCAGACUCCUACGGGAGGCAGCAGUAGGGAAUCUUCCGCAAUGGACGAAAGUCUGACGGAGCAACGCCGCGUGAGUGAUGAAGGUUUUCGGAUCGUAAAACUCUGUUGUUAGGGAAGAACAAGUACCGUUCGAAUAGGGCGGCACCUUGACGGUACCUAACCAGAAAGCCACGGCUAACUACGUGCCAGCAGCCGCGGUAAUACGUAGGUGGCAAGCGUUGUCCGGAAUUAUUGGGCGUAAAGCGCGCGCAGGCGGUUUCUUAAGUCUGAUGUGAAAGCCCCCGGCUCAACCGGGGAGGGUCAUUGGAAACUGGGGAACUUGAGUGCAGAAGAGGAGAGUGGAAUUCCACGUGUAGCGGUGAAAUGCGUAGAGAUGUGGAGGAACACCAGUGGCGAAGGCGACUCUCUGGUCUGUAACUGACGCUGAGGCGCGAAAGCGUGGGGAGCGAACAGGAUUAGAUACCCUGGUAGUCCACGCCGUAAACGAUGAGUGCUAAGUGUUAGAAGGGUUUCCGCCUUUAGUGCUGCAGCAAACGC
rnacentral:rRNA from 1 species